AUCAAAUCAUUCUUACCUCUUCAUUAAAAUGGCUCCUACGAAGAACACUUGUUGACAAAUGUGAACAAUUUAAAAUCUCUGCAGAUUUAAGCAUUUUCCUUCUGGCGGGUCCAUCCAGCAAGUGAUACUAAUUAGGAGCUUUUAUUAACCUUGAGAUCUGGAGGAGGGGGGCUUCUGACUGACUCUGGAUGGCUCAGGCAUGCCAGAGGGCUAAAGGUUCAUCUAGAAACAGCUGCAGAGACAGCAGAGCAUAAAGCUCCGGGUGGCAGCUCUUCCUGGGGCAGCCGGACUGCCCAGAUGGCCCUUCCAGAGCUGGGAAAUGCAGACUUGUCCCUGAGGUGGAAGGUCCUCGCCUUCUAGCACAUUCUUCAAGAGUGACUCUGAGGCAAGCCAGCCGCCAUGUCAUGAGGACACUCAAGCAGCCCCAUGGAGAGGUCCGAUGGCGAGGAACAGAGGAUCCCCCUGCCGAUAGCCAAUGAGGAACAGAGGCCUCCCAACAGCCAUGUAAGGGGUCACCUUGGAAGCCAAUGGCCCCUCCCUACUCAGGCUUUUACAUGACCGAGGUCCUGGCCAACGCCCUGACGGCAACCUCAUGAGAGACCAUGAGCCAGAGCCGCCCACCUAAGCUGCUUCUAGGUUCCUGACCCUCAGAAUCCAUGUGAGAUCAUAAAUGUUUGCUCAAUUUGAGAUAUUUGUGAUGCAGCAAUAAAUAACAAAUACACUUA